rnacentral:tRNA from 1 species
GGGCGUGUGGUCUAGUGGUAUGAUUCUCGCUUUGGGCGACUUCCUGUGCGAGAGGCCCUGGGUUCAAUUCCCAGCUCGCCCC